GUCAACAUAAUCAAUUAUAUAGCUUGAUAAUUUAGUAAGUUGUGAACUAUUGAACUUAUUUAGAAUUUAGAAAGGUCGAAACACGUAAUUACAGGAGAACAAAACGACGGGCUGAACGCGAAAAUCUGAAAAGCAGAGAAGAAGCAAUAAUUUCGGCUUCUUUCUAGCCAAACACUUCCUCAGUGCCCAGACGCGUUUUCACAACACUAUAAAUACUACCACCCUCUUUUCAUUCUUCCAUCACAUAAUAAAAGAGAAAACCUCACUGCACCUUCAACACUUGUUUCUUCCUUCUCUUUCUUUCUGCACUUUCUGUAGCCAUGGCAUCUCAAGCAUUCUCCGUCAACUUCUUCCUCGUUGCUCUCAUCGCAGCACUUUUCUUCGCCGUGGCCACCGCUGAAGAAUUGUCUCCGGCCCCGGCACCGGGACCUGAUGCUGGAGCAGGCGCUUCCUUGUCAAGCUCUAUGGCCGUGAUUGGAGCUUGGAUUGUGGUUUCAAUGUUCGCGAUAUUGAAGCAGUGAGUUUAUUUGAACGGUGAUCUGAUUGCAAUUGUGUGUUAUGGAAAGAGAGAAAGAGAUUACGAUUUGAUGUAAACUGAACCAUUCAUUGUAGGUGUCGGUGAGAUGUAAGAGGGAUUUCUAAUUCCUUUUAUCUUUCAUCCAUUUUUUUCAUUCAUCUAUUAAUAUAAAUUUAUUAAUUCUUUAUAAUUAAUCAUUAUUCUCUCUUCAUUUUUAUAUUUAUUUACUCUAUAUAAUUAAAAUGGUUUAUGUCUUAUAAUUAAUAAUUAUAUAAAAUCACUAAUAACAUUAAAAUAUCAUUAAGAAUGUUUAUUGCAAUCUUUAUCGAUGAAUAAAAUUAUAGCCAUUACAGGUAAUUUCAUUACAGCUGUGCGCUGCAGCUUCCUUAGCUACUCUAAGCCACUGUGGCAUUUCAAAGCUAAUGCAUCUCUUGCCUUAAUAUGUUGAAAAUUUAUUAUUCGACGCUCACUUUUUUAUUUUAUUUCAUUUUUCAAUUCUUUUUAAGGGUUAAAUAUGUUUUUAGUAUAUGUGUUAUCAAGUGAUUUUGAGUUUAGUCUCUCUUUCAAAAUAUGAUACAUUUUAGUUUUUUAGAAAUUUUGAUUAUAGUUCUCCAAAACUAAUACCAUUAAAAAUUAACUAAUGUGAUUAACGGUUGAGUGACACGGAAUUUUUUUUUUGGACUGAGUCAGAGUUUGUGACUUUUUUGCCUCUCUCUCCUUCCUCCCUUACAUCCAUCUUCCACCAACCUUCCACCAACCUCUCUUCACCCUCUGCAACAUCAUCUUUCUUAAUAAUGGAAACAGCCACACCACCGCUACUACCCUUUUCAUUCAUUUAUUAUAUUUUUACUUUAAACUUCACUUUAUGUAUUUAUGGUCAAAUGUAAAUCCUUCGUUCCUUUUUUUCUUUGCAACUAUUAGCUUCAAUUUCAAUAAGAUGUAAAGUAAUGAUUUUACAGAUUGGCCCUUAGCAGGUUUUGAACACGGUUCACCUACACCCACAUAUUGAUUAUUAUUGUUAUCAUUAUUUCCAUUGAUGGCUUUCGGUGUCUUCGUUCUCCUCAAGCUCAUCUUGCAGCUCCUUCACUUGCUUCUGCAAAUCCUUUACCAUGUAACCUCAGUUUUUUCUUUUUUAUUUCUAUUGAAUUAUGAAGGAUUAAUCUCACCGAUAAACGGGUGGGUUUACCAUCUUUGGCUUCUACUGUAUGUAUAAAUAUGAAUGGUGGAUGGAAGUGAUGCAUACUGUACAGAAUCGUGAUCCACGAGUUCUUUUGAGCAGAGUAGUGAAGAGAGAUGAACUGGUUUUCGUGGCUUUCCUGG
rnacentral:lncRNA from 1 species